rnacentral:lncRNA from 1 species
CAAAUAAUUGAUUUGGCUUGGUUCUAAUAUUUGAAAAACCAAUUUGAGCAAAACCGAUCCAAACUGAACCGUGAACACCCUACUGUCACACCUCCUUUUUACUACAUCCCAAAAGAGUAUAAAGGGAGUUUUUUCAAUUUACGUGACAAUCGAAACGAGAUUAUUUAUUAGAUUCAGAGUCGUCACUUGGGAUAAUUUAUAGUAUCCCAAGUCACCGAUUAAAAUCCCGAAUCGAGAAAGUUGACUCUUAUUACGGUCUGCGAACACAGAAAUCGGGUAAGGAAUUCUAUUAAUCUGGGAGAAGGUGUUAGGCAUUCCCGAGUUUCGUGGUUCUAGCACAGUCGCUCUGAUCAUACUUGGCUUAUUAAACUGUUUAAUUACCAAUUUUAGAACCUAUG